UACGGAGGAUGCAAGCGUUAUCCGGAUUCACUGGGUUUAAAGGGUGAGUAGGCGGACCGGCAAGUCAGUGGUGAAAGACUGUAGCUUAACUAUAGAAAUGCCAUUGAUACUAUCGGCCUUGAGUGAAGUUGAGGCAGGCGGAAUGUGCAGUGUAGCGGUGAAAUGCUUAGAUAUUGCACAGAACACCAAUUGCGAAGGCAGCUUGCUAAACUUCUACUGACGCUGAGUCACGAAAGCGUGGGGAU
rnacentral:rRNA from 1 species